CAACAGAGAUCUUCACAGCAGGCUUCUUCCACAGCGUGAAGCUGUGAGCUAACAUCACCAUGGUAACAGGUAGGGCUUUGGUUACAAAGGAAUGAGCACAAAGCAGCCAGUCUUCCACUAGAAACCUGAAGCAUUCUGGGAGCUAGCCAGAAAUUUUCUCUACCAUCCCCCAGGACUUGAAUGACAGAAAUCUCUUCGGUUGUCAACAAUGUUACAUGACACAGGAAGCCUUGCCCUGUGUAACUUCACGGCCAAUUUUACAUACUGAAUACAUGAAUGAACCAUGUACCUGACAAUCAGCUGUCCCUGCUCCUCAUCCACCUCAGAAGGGGCCACAGUCAGACGGCAAACGGCAGACUGCAGGCUGGUAUGACUGUGGCUUACGGCCAGGAAAACGGCUUCUUCAAUCCAGGUGAGAAGGCUCAGCUGCAGCGGGUUUACCUCCUCAUCUUCACCGUUCCCAAGCUGAAUUCUGUUUCAAAUAUUAAAGAAUGUCCAAGAUGAGAACAAAGCUUUAAAUCACUGAACUUUAAAAACAUUUCCUUAUAAAGGGAAACUACAGUCAACUCAUCAUUUGGAGAAACAGAACUUGCGCUACAGCCCUGAAUAAAACACCUGCACCAAC